rnacentral:rRNA from 1 species
GUAGGAGGCAAGCGUUGUCCGGAUUUACUGGGCGUAAAGGGCUCGCAGGCGGGUUCGCCAAGUCUGGGUGUGAAAUCUCCCGGGCUUAACCGGGAGGGUGCAUUGGAAACUGGCGGACUUGAGGGCAUCAGGGGAGAGUGGAAUUCCAGGUGUAGUGGUGAAAUGCGUAGAUAUCUGGAAGAACACCAGUGGCGAAGGCGGCUCUCUGGGGAGCAUCUGACGCUGAGGAGCGAAAGCGUGGGGAGCGAACCGGAUUAGAUACCCGGGUAGUCCACGCCCUAAACGAUGAUAACUAGGUGUUGGGGGUAUCGACCCCCUCAGUGCCGAAGCUAACGCGAUAAGUUAUCCGCCUGGGGACUACGGCCGCAAAGGCUAA